GUGGGCGGGCGCGCGGGGCUGUAGGAUCCACCUGCCUCAGGAUCCACAGAGCUGGGUCCCCGCCGCCCCUCGCAGACCCCACGGCCCUUCCGCUCCGCUCGGCCUCCACCACCCUGGCCUCGAGCUGCAGCCGUUCCAAGGGCAACGGCCGUCCCUGUGGCUGGGCCGCCGGCUAUGCAAUGCUGUCUCUCUUGCUGAUCCUCUCAGGCCUGGGCCGGCUGACCUCCGCGGGCCCGCGCCACUUAUUCCAUCAAAAUUGAGGGGAAACCAUAUACUUUCCUGCUUGAAAAACAGUCAUUUUUACACCCACAUUUCCUGGUGUAUUUAUACAAUGAAUCAGGAACAUUGUAUGUAGAUUCUUCAUUUUCAAAGGGUCUUUGCUUUUACCAAGGAUAUGCUGCAGACAUUCCAAAAUCAGCUGUGACACUACGCACCUGUUCUGGACUCAGAGGAUUAUUGCAGUUAGAUAAUAUCAGUUAUGGUAUUGAACCAUUGGAAUCUUCACCUACAUAUGAGCACGUAGUUUAUCGAAUAAAAAAUGAUGCUAUUGGUCAUUCCUCCUUUCAAGAAAAUUACCCUGUGGCUCAAUAUAUAGAUCAGUCCUACAGGAUUCUUGUCAAAUCAGAUAUAAAUUCAGGUGCCAUGCUAUCGAAAAGAACUCUGAAAAUACAAGUCAUUAUGGAUAAAGCCAUGUAUGAUUAUAUGGGCUCUGCAGUGGCAGUUGCAGUUGAGAAAGUUUUCCAAAUCUUUGGUCUUAUCAACACGAUGUUUUCCCAGCUUAAUAUAACAGUUAUGCUGUCUUCCUUGGAGAUCUGGUCAGAUCAAAAUAAGAUUUCAACAAGUGGUCAUGCUGAUGAAAUACUACAGCGAUUUUUGCCUUGGAAACAAAAACUUUUGUUUCAAAGGUCUUAUGAUAUGACAUACUUAUUAAUUUAUAGGAACCAUUCUACUUAUGUGGGAGCAACAUAUCAUGGAAUGGCAUGUGAUCCAAAGUUUGCAACAGGAAUCGCUCUGUAUCCAAAGAAAAUCACUGUAGAGGCCUUUUCAGUUGUUAUGGCACAGUUGCUUGGAAUUAAUCUGGGAUUGACAUAUGAUGAUAUCUACAAUUGUUACUGUCCAGGACCUACAUGCAUAAUGAAUCCUGAUGCGAUACGAUCCCAUGGUAUGAAGUUUUUUAGCAGUUGCAGCAUGGAUGGAUUUAAACAGAUAGUUCUGCAGCCUGAACUUAAAUGUUUUCAGGAUAAAACAGUUUCAGAAAUGACUUACCGAAAGUCCGCAACUUGUGGCAAUGGAAUUUUGGAACCUACAGAACAGUGUGAUUGUGGCUAUAGAAAGAGACAGGAUUUCAUCAUGUUGGCCAGGCUAGUCUCAAACUUCUGACCUCAGGUUAUCCACCUGCCUCAGCCUCUCAAAGUGCUGGGAUUACAAACGCAUGCACUUAUAAAAAAUGCUGUAAUCCUGUAGAUUGUACUCUAAUUGGAUUUGCAGAAUGUGGCACUGGACCAUGCUGUAACAAUAAAACUUGUACGAUCUAUGCAAGAGGCCAUGUCUGCAGAAAAAGCAUAGAUAUGUGUGAUUUUCCAGAAUAUUGCAAUGGAACAUCUGAGUUUUGUGUACCUGAUGUAAAAGCUGCUGAUUUAGAAUCCUGCAGUAAUAAGACUAGCUAUUGCUUUAAAGGAGUAUGCAGAGAAAGGGAUAGACAGUGUUCACAGUUAUUUGGAAAAUUUUCUAAGUCCGCUAAUCUUCUGUGUACAGAAGAAGUGAAUUUUCAACAUGACAAAUUUGGAAACUGUGGUCAACGCUGUAAUUUUUUUGAUAUCCUUUGUGGAAAGAUUGUUUGUCACUGGAUACAUUCAGAACUAGUACCAAUGACAGACUUAGAUAUACAAUAUACUUACCUUGGAGGUCAUGUAUGUUUGUCAGCACAUGCAAGAAAUGCUUCAAAACAAUUGAGGACCUAUACAGAAGAUAUAACUGCGUGUGGUCAGCAAAAGGUAUGUCAUUCGCAUGGAUGCAGAUAUCUUAGUGAACUAAAUAUAACAAAAUGUACUACAAAUUGUGGACAGAAUGGGAUUUGCAAUGAACAUUUCCAUUGUCAAUGUGAUCCUGGUUAUGCUCCUCCAGAUUGUGAGCCAUCAAUAUCAUCACCAGGAGGAAGUAUCGAUGACGGAUUUUGGCUUUCAGUAGAUAAAAGUGUACCCUUGUUUCCAAAACGACGUGCUGCUCCUAAAAACAAUGGUCUUUUGAUCAGUUUCUACAUUUUUUCACCUUUGCUCAUUUUAAUUGCUAUUGUCAGUCUUAAAUGGAAUAAAAUGAAGAGAUAUUGGAGCAAAGUGGGAACAGUAAGCAGCAAAUCUAUCUCAGAAGACAGCAGUAGUAACAACAGCGAGUCACAGAGUUAAAGUAACCAAGUGAUAAAAUCAAAGCCAUCGGAUGAAGAAAGGAUAUUACCAAGAAACUCACCAUUAACUUAAAACUUUCAAUUUCACAAAACAAAAUAAAUCAUAUGACUAAAAGCAUA